GGGGGGAGGGCAGCGGAGAUACCAAUGAGAGGAGGGGGGAGGAGUGUCCGUCGACUGGACGGAGCCGAGGGGCUCCCUGAGGCCAAGUUGAAGUCAAGUCACUGCCCUUCUCCUCCUCGCGGCUUGGGGCCGGAGGGCCUGAGGAGCCCAGCGGAGUGACCCUCCCUUCCUCCCCCACUACCAUCCCCCGUCGGACUCUGCUUUCUCAGUGGGGCAAUGGGGGAGGGUCUCUGUGGAAGAGGGAGAUGGGUCGGGGGAGCCCGGCCUUUGCUCCACCCCCCCGGGGCGUCCACACCGCCCCGCCGUUUCCUUUUGUUUUCAUUCCAUCUAUUUCUUCUUCCGAGAAGCGUGUUUCGAUUUUAAUUUAUUCUCCGGGUCCCCGUCCUAGGCUUAGUGGCCAUCGCUGUGUGUGUGUUCCUGUAGGGUCGUAUAGGUUCUGAAUAAGAGGUGGGGUUGGGUGGGAGGGGUCGUUAGGCCGGGGGUCAGACUCAUAAGGCCGCUAGACCACGAGCGAGGCCCCCUCGCCCCUCACAAGCCGGUCGACCCCGUGGCUCGUCCCGGCCCGGGUGGCUCGGAGCUGCCGUCUGCCAGAGGUCCUUCCGGGGCCCACUCCCUCAUAGUUAGGGAAGGACACCCCUAACUCUCCCCUCGCUACCCUCCGGCCUCUUCCCCCCGUCUCCCUGGCCCUUCUCCCCCAGCGGUCCGAGGGGAUGGCGACCCUGACCCCCACGAGGGGAGGUCCGCUGGCGCGGGAGAGCGCCCAGAACGGGCCCCGGUGGAAGAAAUCUCGUGAGGCCGAGGGGUCAAAGGUCGAGGGCAGGGUAGACCAUCAGAAACUUACUUUCCCGCUCUCCCUGGUUCACGAGCAUGAUCUGAAAGUUCCGUCUCGUCUGUUUCUUCACUUAAGCUAAGGUCGCCGGCCCCUUCCCCUUGGAGGUUCAAAGAACUCUUUAUUUUGUAUUCUCCCUUGCCGUCCGAGUGCUUAGGCAACUUACUUCACGACUCUCAGGUUUUUCCUCUCUACCCCGCAUCCACCGGAGUUACUUUCCUCCGUUGACAGAGUUUGCAAUCCUAGAAGCAACUCUUGCGAAAACACACAGAUGUGCACACCCUUUAGCUUAAGCUAAUAAACAGAGAGAAACCACCUGCUGGUUACGAAAGGGCUGAGAUGAUGCUAAUUAGUGAUACCUUGAGGAGUCCUAGUGGGCUCUGUCGGCCGCUUGCUGUCUUUAAAUCUGCAUCUCCUCUCCGUGAGCAUCCAGUUGUCACCAUCUUUUGCGAUUUGGCGGCCUACGCCGGGCCGCUGAGGCCUGGCCGCAGAGGAUUACGGGGCAGGGGGCGGCCACCAGCAAUUCACUCAGGGGAGGUUUAGCAGUGAAGUCCGAGGAGCUGCCGAACCGGGGGUCUCGGGAUCUGGACGGUCCUCCCUCUUCCCCCUUCUCUCUCCACUUGGGGUUGGAUACUCUGACACCAUUCCUGCAUCAACAGCCACGAGGCUAGAGUUGGAGGGCCUUGGGUGCUCUGUUUGAGGAGCAGAAGUUUCCAGGCGGCUUGAAGUGGUUUCGAUCCUGCUGCUCUGUCCCGCUUCGGCCCCUCUCUCUUCUCCUCCAGCCGCUAGAACCAGUCUCCUCCGUAGAGAGGGCGAGCUGAGGUUUGGAAAAGGCAGAAGAGUCUGAGCUACCGCCUCCUCCCUCGGAGACUCCGGUCAACCUCACAGCGCGUCCAGCCGGGACCGUCCUCCACAGCGGAAUCAGGACGCUUGAAAGAACUGCGAAGAAAGCUCACAGCCCCAUGUUUUCUGGAUUUUGUGUCUGAGUCCCGUGGUACCCCCGGCAGGCCUGGGACGGUGGGAGGGGUGGGCUUGACCAGAGCCUCCCCCAGAUUUUAGGGGAAGACACCGUCAUCUGCCGCCUCCCCUGCCCGGCCUGUGUCCAGGGCCAAUCGGAUGCUUUGGUUUCACCUUUGUUUUCUGAGUAGGGGCGGACUCUCGCUUCCCCCGACCUGUUCACCGUGCUCAAGGGGGCAUCCGAUGGGCGAGUGGACUAACGUGAGGGGGGAGCUGGGGACAUGCCCCUCAGGAAAGGGUGUCGAAGCCGUCGACUCAGAAAUCACCGAUGUUCGCUUAUAAAUUAUUUCUUAGAUGGGCAGACUGCCCUCCCUGUCCCUGGGACUCUGCCCUUCUUCUUUCCAGAUUCUGCCCCUCCUGACCCAAGCUGGUGGUAGCCCGAGGGCCUGGACGGAGGGGAAGGGCUGGUCAGCCUCAGAGCUGUGGGGGGGGGGGGGGUGGACCUGCCGGAUUCCAGGCCUCUGUCCGGCCCUCAAGCUUCCCAGAAUGGCCGGCGGUUUCUCUGGCAACUCUCUAGAGGACCUAGGUUAAUGGAGAAGAGGAAGGGGGCAGGUGAAUGGUACAGAGCAGGGCAUCCUGGCAUCCACACGGUCAACCUGGUCCACAAUCGGGGGAGCUCAGAUGGGGCAGCAGGCGUUGCCGGGAGGGAGGGAGUCGGGCGGGGGAAGAAGGCCGGCUCACAGCUGCUGAGUUUAGAAUCUGCCGCGGCCACGGCCGGAAUCAGUCGUCGAGGGUGGAUCGGGGACGAGGCCGCGGGGAAGCGGGUGAGGUCAUCUGGGCAGCUCGAGGAAACAGCUCAGGUUGAGACCGGUUUGGGCAAGGAAAUCCAGGAGUCUCGAUGAAGAGGAAGUCUAGGGUCCAGGGGAGAGCAGGCCUGAUUCAUCCAUUUUGAUGUGGUCUGCAACCCGAUUUCUCUUUGGUUCAAACUGCUUUUCUUUCCAAGGCCUGAUCAGCCAGUGUUGGCUGGGGAAGGGGAGGCAGCCCCCUAUCCAGGACCCCGUAACGCCCCUGGGGAAGAGGCUCAACUCACACCCCCUGGGCCCCCACCCCCGGGCUCCUUCAAGUCUGGAGCGAGGUCAAGGGAGGCCAGCCAGCUCUGCCACUUUGAGGGACCCCUUACUAGGAGGCAGAGGGUUGAAUGAGAUUGACCUCUGGGCCCUGUCGGCCCCGUCAGACCAACCCCCGGCGGGCUCGAAAUGGACCGAGAUGGCUGCGGGGGCCGACCCAGAUCUCGACGAGGCGAGAAGGCGUCAGUUCCCCGGAACGAGACGGGGACGUGUCCUAAAUCCCUCCCUCCCCCCAAUUCCCCGCACCAUCUGGGGGUUGUCCCCGGUCGCGGCCACGGGGGCGAGGGCCUGUUGAAUGUCUCCCCUGUGUUGUGUCUCUCCAGACUGUAAAUAUUGGUGUUGGGAGUUAAUUAAUAAAGCCUCGCGUGUGCUUCCAAAAUAUGGAA